AUUGAACGCUGGCGGCAGGCCUAACACAUGCAAGUCGAACGGUAACAGGAAGCAGCUUGCUGCUUCGCUGACGAGUGGCGGACGGGUGAGUAAUGUCUGGGAAACUGCCUGAUGGAGGGGGAUAACUACUGGAAACGGUAGCUAAUACCGCAUAACGUCGCAAGCCCAAAGAGGGGGACCUUAGGGCCUCUUGCCAUCGGGUGUGCCCAGAUGGGAUUAGCUUGUAGGUGGGGUAACGGCUCACCUAGGCGACGAUCCCUAGCUGGUCUGAGAGGAUGACCAGCGACACGGGAACUGAGACACGGUCCAGACUCCUACGGGAGGCAGCAGUGGGGAAUAUUGCACAAUGGGCGCAAGCCUGAUGCAGCCAUGCCGCGUGUAUGAAGAAGGCCUUCGGGUUGUAAAGUACUUUCAGCGGGGAGGAAGGGAGUAAAGUUAAUACCUUUGCUCAUUGACGUUACCCGCAGAAGAAGCACCGGCUAACUCCGUG
rnacentral:rRNA from 1 species